AGCGGAGGAAAAGAAACCAACAGGGAUUGCCCUAGUAACGGCGAGCGAAGCGGCAACAGCUCAAAUUUGAAAUCUGGCUACUUUGUAGUCCGAGUUGUAAUUUGUAGAGGAUGCUUUUGGUGAGGUGCCUUCCGAGUUCCCUGGAACGGGACGCCAGAGAGGGUGAGAGCCCCGUACGGUUGGAUACCAAACCUUUGUAUAGCUCCUUCAACGAGUCGAGUAGUUUGGGAAUGCUGCUCUAAAUGGGAGGUAUAUCUCUUCUAAAGCUAAAUAUAGGCUAGAGACCGAUAGCGCACAAGUAGAGUGAUCGAAAGAUGAAAAGCACUUUGAAAAGAGAGUUAAACAGCACGUGAAAUUGUUGAAAGGGAAGCGCCUAUGACCAGACUUGUUUCUUUCAGUUUUGUUAGUUCUCGGACUGAUUUACUCUGUUAGUACAGGCCAGCAUCAGUUUGUUGUCGGGGAGAAAGGCUUAGGGAAUGUGGCUCCUUCGGGAGUGUUAUAGCCCUUUGCAUAAUACCCUUCGGCAGACUGAGGACCGCGCUUCGGCAAGGAUGCUGGCGUAAUGGUCAUCAGCGACCCGUCUUGAAACACGGACCAAGGAGUCAACCUUAUGUGCGAGUGUUUGGGUGUAAAACCCCAGCGCGUAAUGAACGUGAACGUAGGUGAGAGCUUCGGCGCAUCAUCGACCGAUUCUGAUGUUCUCGGAUGGAUUUGAGUAAGAGCACACAGGGUUGGACCCGAAAGAAGGUGAACUAUGCUUGUAUAGGGUGAAGCCAGAGGAAACUCUGGUGGAGGCUCGCAGCGGUUCUGACGUGCAAAUCGAUCGUCAAAUAUGAGCAUGGGGGCGAAAGACUAAUCGA
rnacentral:rRNA from 1 species